rnacentral:misc_RNA from 1 species
AGUUUGUUUAUAGUAUAGUUAGUUGUAUAAUAAAUAGAUGAAAGGUUAAGUAAAGAUUAAAGUAAUUAUUUAAUGUAGUAGUGGAGAGAUUAUAUAAGGUAGUAUAUAAUCGAUUUAUUGUUUAAAUGAUUUUUUAGGUAUUAGUCGUUGUGUUUUUAGAGGAGGAUGUAAGUAUUGUAGUUAAGGGUAGUUAGGGAAGGUUUUAUGAAAAAGGU